rnacentral:rRNA from 1 species
GACGAACGCUGGCGGCGUGCUUAACACAUGCAAGUCGAACGGAAAGGCCCUGCUUUUGUGGGGUGCUCGAGUGGCGAACGGGUGUGUAUCACGUGAGUAACCUGCCCUUGACUUUGGGAUAAUUUCAGGAAACUGGGGCUAUUACCGGAUAUGAGCUCCUGCUGCAUGGUGUGGGUUGGAAAGUUUCGGCGGUUGGGGAUGGACUCGCGGCUUAUCAGCUUGUUGGUGGGGUAGUGGCUUACCAAGGCUUUGACGGGUAGCCGGCCUGAGAGGGUGACCGGCCACAUUGGGACUGAGAUACGGCCCAGACUCCUACGGGAGGCAGCAGUGGGGAGUAUUGCGCAAUGGGCGGAAGCCUGAUGCAGCAACGCCGCGUGCGGGAUGACGGCCUUCGGGGUGUAAACCGCUUUCGCCUGUGACGAAGCGUGAGUGACGGUAAUGGGUAAAGAAGCACCGGCUAACUACGUG